GAGCUCACUUUUAAUAGCACAUACGCUAAAAUUGGAACAAUAUAGAGAAAAUUAACAUGAGUUCUGUGCAAUAAUGAUACUCAGAUACGUGAAGUAUUCCAUAUUGUU